AGCGAACACUGGCGGCAGGCUUAACACAUGCAAGUCGAACGGGCACUUCGGUGUCAGUGGCAGACGGGUGAGUAACACGUGGGAACGUACCUUUUGGUUCGGAACAACACAGGGAAACUUGUGCUAAUACCGGAUAAGCCCUUACGGGGAAAGAUUUAUCGCCGAAAGAUCGGCCCGCGUCUGAUUAGCUAGUUGGUGAGGUAAGGGCUCACCAAGGCGACGAUCAGUAGCUGGUCUGAGAGGAUGAUCAGCCACAUUGGGACUGAGACACGGCCCAAACUCCUACGGGAGGCAGCAGUGGGGAAUAUUGGACAAUGGGCGCAAGCCUGAUCCAGCCAUGCCGCGUGAGUGAUGAAGGCCCUAGGGUUGUAAAGCUCUUUUGUGCGGGAAGAUAAUGACGGUACCGCAAGAAUAAGCCCCGGCUAACUUCGUGCCAGCCGCCGCCGUAA
rnacentral:rRNA from 1 species